rnacentral:rRNA from 1 species
UACAUAGGUGGCAAGCGUUGUUCGGAAUUACUGGGCGUAAAGGGCGCGUAGGCGGUCUUUUAAGUCCUGUGUGAAAUCCCUCGGCUCAACUGAGGAACUGCACGGGAUACUGGAAGACUUGAGUUCGGGAGAGGGAUGCGGAAUUCCAGGUGUAGCGGUGAAAUGCGUAGAUAUCUGGAGGAACACCGGUGGCGAAGGCGGCAUCCUGGACCGAUACUGACGCUGAGGAGCGAAAGCCAGGGGAGCAAACGGG